UUAAAUGAGGGCCGCACAUUGGACAUGGAUCUUGUUUUUCUCUUUGACAACAGUAAAAUCACCUAUGAAACUCAGAUCUCCCCACGGCCCCAACCUGAAAGUGUCAGCUGUAUCCUUCAAGAGCCCAAGAGGAACCUCGCCUUCUUCCAGCUGAGGAAGGUGUGGGGCCAGGUCUGGCACAGCAUCCAGACCCUGAAGGAGGAUUGCAACCGGCUGCAGCAGGGACAGCGAGCCGCCAUGAUGAAUCUCCUCCGAAACAACAGCUGCCUCUCUAAGAUGAAGAAUUCCAUGGCUUCCAUGUCUCAGCAGCUCAAGGCCAAGUUGGAUUUCUUCAAAACCAGCAUCCAGAUUGACCUGGAGAAGUACAGCGAGCAAACCGAGUUUGGGAUCACAUCAGAUAAACUGCUGCUGGCCUGGAGGGAAAUGGAGCAGGCUGUGGAGCUCUGUGGGCGGAUGGCCCUGUUAGAAGCCUAUUUUAUGCAAAAGGAAACUGUAGCU
rnacentral:sRNA from 1 species